GCCUGGGUGGCCCAGUCGGUUAAGCGUCCGACUUCGGCUCAGGUCAUGACCUCGCAGUUCGUGGGUUCGAGCCCCGCCUCAGGCU
rnacentral:tRNA from 1 species